rnacentral:ncRNA from 1 species
GAUAGGGCUGUGCCGCCAGGGUGAUUGGACACUGACGUAGAGUCAACUAGCCUUGGUCGCGCGGUUCUUCUUCUCGCGGACCGCGGCGGCUCAAGCCAUGAGGGGGGAGGCUUGAGCCGCCUUCG